rnacentral:lncRNA from 1 species
CAGAGCCCAUGCCACAUCCUGAGCCUAAACCUGAACCAAAGCCCAUGCCGGAGCCAAAGCCAAUGCCACAUCCAGAGCCGAAACCUGAGCCCAUGCCUCACCCUGAACCGAAACCUGAGCCAAAGCCCGAACCUAAGCCUGAGCCAAAACCCAUGCCCGAGCCAAAACCUGAACCAAAACCCAUGCCCGAGCCUAAGCCGGAACCUAAGCCUGAGCCAAAACCUGAACCAAAACCUAAGCCCGAGCCAAAACCUGAACCAAAACCUAAGCCUGAGCCAAAACCCAUGCCCGAGCCGAAACCUGAACCAAAACCCAUGCCCGAGCCUAAGCCUGAGCCAACACCCGUGCCCGAGCCAAAGCCGGAACCUAAGCCCGAGCCGAAACCCAUGCCCGAGCCAAAACCCAAGCCCGAGCCCAAGCCGGAACCCAAGCCCGAGCCGGAACCCAAGCCCGAGCCGGAACCCAAGCCCGAGCCAAAGCCGGAACCUAAGCCCGAGCCAAAGCCGGAACCUAAGCCCGAGCCGAAACCCAAGCCUGAGCCAAAGCCCGAACCGAAGCCAAAGCCCGAGCCAAAGCCGAAGCCGGAACCUAAACCCGAGCCCAAGCCUGAACCAGAGCCGAAGCCGUAUCCUAAGCCGGAACCAAAACCCAAGCCAGAACCUAAGCCCGAACCCAAGCCCAAACCCGAGCCCAAGC